UACGAGUUGUGCAAACGUUAUUCGGAAUCACUGGGCUUAAAGGGUGCGUAGGCGGCUACGAAAGUCAGGUGUGAAAUCCCUCGGCUCAACCGAGGAACUGCAUUUGAAACUGUGUAGCUUGAGGGAGACAGAGGUGAGCGGAACUGAUGGUGGAGCGGUGAAAUGCGUUGAUAUCAUCAGGAACACCGGUGGCGAAAGCGGCUCACUGGGUCUUAUCUGACGCUGAGGCACGAAAGCCAGGGGAGCAAACGGG
rnacentral:rRNA from 1 species